rnacentral:tRNA from 1 species
GAAGAGGUCGCAUAGUGGUCUAGUGCCUUCGCCUGGAAAGCGAAUAUAGUCGCAAGGCUAUCGCGGGUUCGAAUCCCGCCCUCUUCG